rnacentral:lncRNA from 1 species
AAUCAAAACUGUGGCACCUCUAUCAAUAUUCGUUUGUACCUUCUAUUCCGCUUUCGUGAUGUCCGGCAUCGGGGGAGCAACCAUGACUGGUAUGAAGACGCUCAACACUCUGUUCAUAUUCCUGAGCCUUUUAAGUUUCACAUGGACACUGCACGUAGCAAGGAACAUGACGUUCGUCACUGUAUCACACAUAAAUUCAUGAGAUUUGCAAGUGGAACAGAGGUUGAUCUUAAAACAGUGGUAAGAGACUCGGCUCAGAACUCGAUGGGGAGCGUAUGCUUUGGCUCGAUUCUUGUACCGGUUCUUGGCACCAUCCGGGGUUUGGCUCGGGCCAUAAGCUUGGUCUCUGGAGACGUGGAUGAGUUCAUGUUCUCGUGUGCAAGUUGCUGCACGGGAGUAGCUAAAAGGCUUGUAGCGUAUGGAAAUAGAUGGGGUUUCGUGCAGGUAGGGAUGUAUAACAAAGGAAUCGUGCAGGCUUCGAAGGAUACAUGGGAGAUGUUUAGCAGGAUUGGAAUUCAAAAGUUGAUUGAUACUGACCUCACUAGCUCAUUCUGCUUCCUGUGUGGCGUUGCAGCUGGAUCAUUGUCUGCGCUGGUUGCAGGAACUUGGGCUCUUCUCGUCCACAAAAACUACGCAACAGAAGUGUCACUGUACGCAUUCUUGACUGGGUACUUAGUGGUAAGAACCCAAAUCCUAUAGGAAAAAAAUACCAUUGUGAUAAUAGCUGCAAAUUAAUUUUAACUUCUACAAAAUGCAGAAUAGAGUCGCCAUGGCAUGGAUACAAGCUAGCGUUGCAGCAUAUUAUGUUGCCUAUGCAGAAAACCCACAAAACCAGCAAUUUGACGGUACUAUUCCAGAUUAUAUUCAGGCGCUACAGCGACUACAGGGGUAGGAUGCAUGAGAGUUGUUAUCGUGGCCAGAAGUACAAUUAAUGUUCUAGGAGGUGUGCUUCCACAACAAGAAACCACACAGCAUUAGAACUGCAAAUAGAUGGUAUGCCUUCAAUUCUCCUUAAUUAUGAUCAUGUACAGACAAAAGUUACACACUAUCUUCAAUGAGUUUAUUGAUUUAUGAUUGCAAAAUGCAAAUGCCAACCAGUCCAGAAUUCAAUUUAAUGAAUGUGAUUCAAAUUCUUUGUUCCUUGAUUUUUACAAUCGAAAUUCUGAAUUCACCUCCAAUAAAAGAAUUUCAAAGAUCACCUACUAUUUUUAAGCAGAUAUUCCUUCCUAGUUUAAAGUCUCAUAAGAUUAGUUUAUUGCCCUGCAAAAGAUAAUUUGUUUUCUAAACAAACUUCUGCACAAUCAAAAUGCUAAAUUCUUUACUCCUUAAGCAUUUCAUCACUGAGAAAAAAAAAACCAUCAGCUCUAGUGCUUGUCCAGAAAAAACCGAGCAUUUUUGUUCCAUGUAACCAAUAUGUUCCAGGCAGCAAAAGCACGAAUCAGCCACAACAAGUUCUACAAUGUCCAAAUUAUACGCGAGACUGCCUAUUUACUCCCAAAACAAGUUAAAUGAAGGAAUAACAGUACUAGGAUUCUACUCAAUCAUCUUUCGGUGCAACAUCUGCCACUCUCUACGCUCUUCUUUCACGCAUUGAUGUUACAUGUUCAGCUGCUUGAUGCACGAAGCACAGGCUGUGGCAGCAUAAUACGUCACCAAACGAAAGAACACCACAGUAAGUAAUAUCUCGAGUUCCCACAUGAACUGAUCAUAUAUGAUAUAGCUAUGUUGAUCACAAAAACUAUCAAGAUCAAAGUUUGAGCAACGCAAUCAAGCAAUCUUAACUUCACCACAUGCACAUAAAUCUCCACACAGUUAUUCUUCGUAAAACACCUAACAAAAUUUCAACAAUGACAUGACCUCAGCUCAUACUAAUAUACGUUUGCUCCUCCUGUUCCCAAUUUCCUAAUCACUUCAAUUCCGCAUUCACUUGGACAAAUACAAAAACUUCUCUGCAAAUUACAAACACGUGAAAGAAAUAUCUACAUUUUUCUUCAACAGAUUAUGUUUUUAAACUACUCUCGAACACGUGCUUCUCGAUUUUAGAUAAAUUUGGGCAAUUUGCCCUAAAAUACUCUUCGUGUAGUUCACGGAAAACAGAGAUAUCGAUAGACGAAAAAAACAUAGACAGAUUAGAAGCAGUAGCCCGAUGCGAACACGAACAAUUUAGAAUUUGCGAUUUGAAUACCUGAAUCUCGAGGAGCUUCGAGCUGCCGCGUGUAUGAUAAUGCAAAAAGAGAGAAUCUUGCGCAAUGAGAAACUUGAUCAGGCGCCAUUUUCGGAGCUCGUUCCAUAUCUGAACGAUCAAAAUUAAAGCUUCAAAAUCAUAGUGAUGGUGUGAUUCGGAUUGAAUGUUUGCAGCUGCUUAAUACGGCAGAAAUUUCGAUUUCUAGCUAUGGUUUUGAGCUGAAAAUCAAUGUGUGUGCAGAACUUUAGAAAGCGGCGCUUUCUUAACAAGUGUUAAUGCUUCGA